UUUGCUUUUAAAUUUUAAAAGAAACAAAAUUAAAACUAAAAGAAAGUUUCAGACUCUUUCUUUUUCUGUAGGAUUUUUUUAGGGUUCCCUCAACCCUUUGAGCACCGCCGCUCCCCUUUGCGCCAAGGCUCCGAUUGCGACGGAGAUGGCCAUGACUCGGCGGGUUCGGCGUAUGGGUGUUCGUGGAGAGAAACGCGUGCGUGGAGGAGAGAUCAGCCCGAGACGUGCGGCGCUUGGACGCUUGCUGAAGGCGUUGGGGGCUGUUGCUGGUGGCUUGCUGCUUAGGGCUAGGUUUUUUUGCUUUUUGUUUUUUUUGCUGUAUUGGGCUUGUUUAAUGCUUUGGGCCCGUUUAUUGGUUUGGGCCCGGGCAUAUUUGGGUUUGUACAUAUCCGAUUCUGUAUGUGAGUAUAUGUCAAAUCUAUAACUGAAAACGUGUCCAUUAUUUAUGUAUAUCUGAUUGUGGGUCGGGUCACACGCAGGGGCUUCUAGCUCACUUGUUUGUUUAA